rnacentral:rRNA from 1 species
CCUACGGGAGGCAGCAGUGAGGAAUAUUGGUCAAUGGACGAGAGUCUGAACCAGCCAAGUAGCGUGAAGGAUGACUGCCCUACGGGUUGUAAACUUCUUUUAUAUGGGAAUAAAAUGUUCCACGUGUGCGUUUUUGUAUGUACCAUAUGAAUAAGGAUCGGCUAACUCCGUGCCAGCAGCCGCGGUAAUACGGAGGAUCCGAGCGUUAUCCGGAUUUAUUGGGUUUAAAGGGAGCGUAGGUGGAUUGUUAAGUCAGUUGUGAAAGUUUGCGGCUCAACCGUAAAAUUGCAGUUGAAACUGGCAGUCUUGAGUACAGUAGAGGUGGGCGGAAUUCGUGGUGUAGCGGUGAAAUGCUUAGAUAUCACGAAGAACUCCGAUUGCGAAGGCAGCUCACUGGACUGCAACUGACACUGAGGCUCGAAAGUGUGGGUAUCAAACAGGAUUAGAUACCCCAGUAGUC